rnacentral:lncRNA from 1 species
UACUAGUAAAUUAGUAAUUACUAAAAUAUAAUUUUUAGUAGAGAUGGGAUUUCAUCAUGUUGGCCAGGCUGGUCAUGAACUCCUGACCUCAAUGGAUCCUCCUGCCUCAGCUUCCUGAGUAGCUGGGACCACAGGUGCACACCACCACGCCCAGGUAAUUAAUUUUUAUUUUUUGUAGAGUCGGGGGUCUCCCUAUGUUUCCCAGGCUGGCCUCGAACUCCUGACCUCAAGUGAUCCUCCCACCUCAGCCUCCCCGAGUGCUGGGAUUAAAGACGUGAGCCACGGCACCUGGCCUGAAUUUUCCUCAAAUUCAAAAAAUCCUGAUGAAGGUUUGGCUAAAAUCUUUGGUGAGUUACCCCACUCCCUGUGGAACCUCAGGCUGGAUUUGAAGAGUUGCGUGCAUGGUCCUCAUUGUCUCCCAGGUAACCUGUUCCCGCUGCUGUGAAGGGAAGGCAGGUGCUCUUCCUUGAGGCUAGAAUCUGUCUACGUGUCACAGUCUCAGGAAAUUAAGCAAAACAGAUGAUAAACACCUCAAAAGGACCCUACUGAGCAUCAGUGGAGCAGAGCAGGGCCAUGUGGGACUGCGGCGUCAGAUGCCACCUCACACUAGCUGUGACACACCUGCCUCGCCAGUUUCUGCUCUGAGGCCCCAAAGCCGAGCUGAACCUCCUCCAGGGGUUCUCAGCCCUAACUGAGCAUGAAAACCCCUGGGGCAAUCCUCUUUUUAACAAUUGAGACAUUCCACACACACCCCACAUCAGAUUUUGGGGUGUGGGGAUAGACCUUCACAUUUGUAGUUUUCUAACCCUCCAGGGGACACUAGGCUGAGACUCAUUGGUCUCCACUCUGAACCUUCCACUGAACAUGUGAGAAAAACUAAGGCCCAGGGAAGUCUUUAGCAGAGAGCUGAGACGGAGAAAAGGGUUCUGAACCACAGCUGUCUGCUGAAGGAAGCUGUCCAAAGGCCAGUGAAGUCUCUCCUGAGGGUGCCUGGGCUGUGCAUCAGGAGUGAAGGUUGAGGGUCACCUUAGGUGUGAGAAGGAGCAACUGGGAGAGUGGCGCUGAUGCUUCCCCCCGGGUUAGGAGGCAUUUGGAUCACAGAGCGAUGCCUGUUCAUUCCUGCUUGCAAGGGAGCAGAUCUCUCGACACCCGAUGGGCCUCUAUUCCGUUCCGGCAGCUGUCCGUGUCAGGAGCGCUGGGCUUGCUCCUCCCCACGGGAGCCAUCACAGAGGCCUCGGGCAGUCUGCAUAGACAACUGCCUGGCAGGUGACCAGGAGGGGAUGCAUGAGCAGAUGCAGGUAGCACUCGCAGUCCCCCUAGCUGUGCCCUCAGCACCUGCUGUCUAGGAGGCAGAAGCCUUGUUCUCGGCCUUGCAGGUGACCCCAGUGUCUCUGAAUUCGGCCCCAUAUGUGUAGGAGGGGAGUGAUUGCAUCUGAAGAUGGGAGUCUGGUUGGGGGUUUGGGAAGCUCCCAUCACCCCUCAAGAGUCCACUGACCAGCCCAGCUCACACCAGGUGGGCCUUGGCACUGGAGGCCACGGCUCAACUCUGCAGUUCCCUCUGGGCAGCAUUUCCAGGGACUCGUAGGUCAGCAUGGUCAUCAAGGACAGGUGGUGAGAGCAGCUCCUCAUUGUCCUGGUGACCCCGAUGGUUCAUUUUCUGGUGUCUCUGUGGUGAGCUCCUGUUACAUCAAGCGAGUGGAAACCACCGAGGACCAACAGCCCUGGAAAUGCACUGAGAAUGCAGGAUGAGUGGGCUUUGUGAGGACUGUUUUCUGUGACUUAGCAAGGAAAGCCUGGAAGGGAAAGUAAAACUGCUUCUUCCCAGGGAAGCCAGAAACCUGAGAACUUAAAAGGGAAGGAGAACUUAAUAUAUUUCAAAAAUGUAACCCUUGUGAAUUAGCAACAGCUUUAUAAACAAAGAGAUUUCCGAGCUUAUAGAAUCUAUUCUGCUUUGUUUCUGCCCCCAUGGCUCCUACCCCUGUUUUUGUGGGUACAAUUUUCAUAUAGAACAUUUUUACACAAGCUUCAAAACUCUCUGAGGACAGCUUUCCCCUUUGUGUCUGUCGGGUCCCAGGCAGUCACAUCCCAGGAAGUGCUGGGGUUGGGCUCCUUGCUCCACAUCCUUCUUCAGUGGCACGAAGCGUGGGGUGGAGUGUGUGAGUCAUGUGUGAUCUUGGUGUGGGCUAUGGCUGGUCUGCAGCACCCCUUCAAUGACUGCUUCAAGGGCUUUUCAUGAUGCUUGUAGCUCAUGAGCUAGUGUUUCCUAGAUGCUGUUUCCAGGUGUCUUGCAUGUCACACACUGGCCUACCAGGGCUGGAGUGAGAUCAUGAGCGCCAGAUUGUUGGUGAAGGAAGUUGACAGAGACAUCGAAUGUCGGUGAACAGGAGUGACCUUGGGUCUCAAUAAAUACUGUGGUCAACUGAAUCCAGAACCCACCCUUACCAGCAGGGCCCACUUCUUCCCCAGCAGGCCGAGCUCUUCCCCUCCUGUCUUCCCUGGCCCUUGCUUUGUAGCUCUGUGUGGCUGUGUCAUGUCUGGUUGUAUCUGUAUAUACUUCUGCCUCUCCCGCUAUCUAGAUGGCUCGGGGAGGCACACCACACACCAGGUCACCUUCCUCUCUGAACCCCCAGCACCUCAUACUGUUUCUGUGCAGAGAUAAGGCUGGGUGAAAGCUUGUGUGAAUGAUCUGAAGUCUUCUACUCUAGGCCAGUCUCCAGGAGCAUUAUGAUCUUUAGGAGGGUGGGCUUGGUUCCUCUGUACAAUAAUGGGUCAUAAAACUGAGUGGUCAAGAUCAUCCCGGUGAGGGCAGUCCGUGUGUUGCCAUAGUUGCUGUACCGGUUAAGAAUGCACCUGGCUGCAAUUUCCUGAAAACCUGACGUAUAGUGGCUUAAACAAAGAGUGGUUUAUUUUCCUUCUGUCAUAGCAAUCUGGGGGAGGCCACUGUGGCUUUGGCGCAGGAGGUCGGGAAAGGCCCGCUUCUCUGAUAUCAUUGGGGGCCUCCCCAGUGCUUGUGUGGCAGAAUGACAAGAGGAAGAAGAAGGAGAAUUAUGGCACUGAGUAUCAUGAGAUUUGGGGUCAUAUAUCUUUAGUGGGCGGUGUUUGCUGCCCCAAAUGUCUCAUGCCAUUAAAAUGUUCUGGAAAUGAUUUAGGUAGUUGGAGUUUCCUUCCCAAAGACAAGGCAUUUACAGCAUGAUGUCCAAUAUCCAUUGAGUUUGUGUCAUGCAUUCAUUGUAUUCAUAGUCUGCUUUAGGUACUUAGCAAAAUAUUGCUGAUAUUAACAUGCCUUUGUUUGCUUCACUGGAGAUGAAAUUGUGCUCCAAGUGUUUUCCAAGGUUCCGUAUGACCCAUCAUUUGAUGAAACAAGAACAGCAGUCAGAUCCAUUACAAAGAGAGACACACAAAAAAACUAUGUGAAAAUGAGCUUAGCCCCUGGUGUUGUGUUGGAACUUCAGAUGCUUGCAGACACUUCAUGAAUGCUCUGUGACACUCAGAAUAGGCUAUUCCCAACAGAAGAGCUUGAACAAUGCUGCAUUUGCAUCAGGUUCAAAUGAGCGAGAGGAACAUUUGGCUAAAAUAUUUGAUGAAAUUCUACUGCAGGUGUUUCCAAAGUUUCCGUAUGACCCAUCAUUUAACGAAGCAACAGCAGUCAGAUCCAUUACAAAGACAGACAUGAGAAAAGGAACCAGCAUUGCUUGGAAUUCUCCUAAACCAGAAUAUUUCCUUGGCAGUGUGGACAAAAUUCCUGAUAAAGAGAUGGGGUUUCACUGUGUUAGCCAGGAUGGUCUCGAUCUCCUGACCUCAUGAUCCGCCCGCCUCGGCCUCCCAAAGUGCUGGGAUUACAGGCGUGAACCACCAUGCCCGGCCCAGAAUGUCCUUUCUUUUCGAAGCGGAGUAAUAUUCCAUUAUCACCUUUCAGAGGAGAAGAAUUUUAAAGAAUCCUGUCUGUUCGACAGGGAUUUAAGAGAGCAGUUAACUACUAUAGAUAAAGAAACACUUCAAGGAGCAGCUAAACCAGAUCUCCUCUGGCAAACACGACAUAUAAUAUUUUUAUAAUGGAUGGAAAGACAUGGUGGCACAAUUCUGAAGAAAAAAAUUUCACAAAACUUGCAAAAAAACAGAAACAGUUGAAGAGCAGCUCCUGUGUCUAAGCCAGGUCGUGGGGCCGUCAAACCAGGACUUGAAACCACAAUGCGAGGACAUUCUCCAUCUGCGCACCACAGGGAGGCAAUUCCAUUUCUGCCCGGGAGGUGUAUUCUACAAAAACGUCUGCUUCCCAUCCCAAUUUGAAUGGACCAAGAAAAACUGCUUUACCAUAGGACACUUGUGGCAAUAUGGCACCGAUGGCUGGCGUCGGUGAACCCGACAGACUAUGGAUUUAUCAUUUAAUAAAGCAUUGAUUCAUUUUUUCAGUCAUUCAUUGAACAGAUAUUAAUAGACCACCUCACAUGCUGACAAUAUCAAAAUACAAUGAGGAAACUAACAGUGACCCAGGCAUGCAUUCUUCCCCGAGCAAGAUCACAGUCCAUGGUGUGAGCACAACCAUACUAAAUAGCUUUUAUGGGAGGUGGGAGUACAGAAAGUAUUAUAUCUGCAAAGAAACUGCUAAGAAUUGUGGGAGCGCCCCAGGAGGUGAUUUCCUGCUUGCGUGACCAGCACAAAGAAAUGGGGUAAUUGAGAGUGUCAUGAAGUGGGGUUAUUUAUUUAUUGAGUC